CUAAACAAUAUUCCAUUUAGCCAGUUUAGAAGGAUAAAAAGAAAUUGUUCUGAACCAGAUAUCUGUGUCGAACAAACUAAAAUGAUGACAGCACAAUUUCAAACGAAAGGCUAUUCUAGUAAAAUUUUAAAUCAAGCUUUAACUAAGACUUCCCUUUUAUCUAGAAACCAAAUUUUGGCAACUAAGCCACAUAAAGACUCAUCUAAUCUGGAAGCUCCUACUUUUAUAACAAG